rnacentral:rRNA from 1 species
GACGGACGCUGGCGGCGUGCUUAACACAUGCAAGUCGAACGGAAAGGCCCCAGCUUGCUGGGGUACUCGAGUGGCGAACGGGUGAGUAACAUGUGGGUGAUCUGCCCUGCACUCUGGGAUAAGCCUGGGAAACUGGGUCUAAUACCGGAUAGGACCGUGCUUUAGUGUGUGCGGUGGAAAGUUUUUCGGUGCAGGAUGAGCCCGCGGCCUAUCAGCCUGUUGGUGGGGUAAUGGCCUACCAAGGCGGCGACGGGUAGCCGGCCUGAGAGGGUGUACGGCCACAUUGGGACUGAGACACGGCCCAGACUCCUACGGGAGGCAGCAGUGGGGAAUAUUGCACAAUGGGCGCAAGCCUGAUGCAGCGACGCCGCGUGGGGGAUGACGGCCUUCGGGUUGUAAACCCCUUUCGGCAGGGACGAAGCUUUUGUGACGGUACCUGCAUAAGAAGCACCGGCUAACUACGUG